CCAACAAUUAUUUAUUAGUUCUUGCCAUUAUAUUCCCAGCAUCCUGCCUAAUACAUGGAAUACAAGACAGUAUUCCUUCCACUUCAAGAAGACUGUUUUCUAGCAAAGUUCUAUAGAAAUCCUGUCAAAGAAUAUGAAGAAAAACAGAGAAAGAUUCUGCAGUAGAGAGAGAGAAUUGUGUAUGAAUUUAAAGUAGGAAGUCAGUGCUUAGAACUGAGAGUGCCACUCAGAUUUCCCAUUCAAGAGAAUGCCAGUCAUUUGCAUGGACGUCUGAUGCAGCUGCACAAUUUACCGUGCUUUAUAGAAAAAGACUUAAAAGAAGCUCUGACUCAGUUUAUAGAAGAGGAAUCUCUCAGAGAUUAUGAUAGAGAUGCUGAAGCAUCCCUGGAAGCUGUGAAAUCAGGUGAGGUAGAUUUACAUCAGCUGGCGAGUACAUGGGCCAAAGCUUAUGCUGAGGUAAGAGAAUAUAUCAGAUGGUAAAUUUCAAGUAUAUUCUGGAUUUUGGUGAGAAUUUUUUAAAUGCUAUGAUAAUCCUGAAAUAGUUAUAAGAUCCUUUUUCUCCACAUACCAGUAUUUAUUCUACAAUAUAUAUGUUGCUGCUUCAGUGCUUCCUAUAUCAGGGUGAGCACAUAAGACAAAAUGCUUUUUAUGUAAUACCUUUGUAAAACAAGAGGCUACUUUCAUAUAUCUCACCAGCAUAAGGUCACGAGAUUUAGUAAUUAAAAAUACAGGACACCCAGUUAAGUUAGAAUUUCAGAUCAA